rnacentral:rRNA from 1 species
UAGGGAAUCUUCCACAAUGGACGAAAGUCUGAUGGAGCAACGCCGCGUGAAUGAAGAAGGGUUUCGGCUCGUAAAACUCUGUUGUUAAAGAAGAACAUAUCUGAGAGUAACUGUUCAGGUAUUGACGGUAUUUAACCAGAAAGCCACGGCUAACUACGUUCCAG